GGCGCUGUGGCUCAAGUGGUAGAGCACUAGCCUUGAGCUCGAGGCCUGGGUUCGAUUCCUCAGCACCA
rnacentral:tRNA from 1 species